UACGUAGGGUGCAAGCGUUAAUCGGAAUUACUGGGCGUAAAGCGUGCGCAGGCGGUUUUGUAAGUCAGAUGUGAAAUCCCCGGGCUUAACCUGGGAACUGCGUUUGAAACUACAAGGCUAGAGUGUGGCAGAGGGGGGUGGAAUUCCACGUGUAGCAGUGAAAUGCGUAGAGAUGUGGAGGAACACCGAUGGCGAAGGCAGCCCCCUGGGUUAACACUGACGCUCAGGCACGAAAGCGUAGGGAGCAAACAGG
rnacentral:rRNA from 1 species